rnacentral:piRNA from 1 species
CGGAAGGUCCUGGAAGAAGGGCGGGAGAGA